rnacentral:rRNA from 1 species
UGGCUCAGAUUGAACGCUGGCGGCAGGCCUAACACAUGCAAGUCGAGCGGUAGAGAGAAGCUUGCUUCUCUUGAGAGCGGCGGACGGGUGAGUAAUGCCUAGGAAUCUGCCUGGUAGUGGGGGAUAACGUUCGGAAACGGACGCUAAUACCGCAUACGUCCUACGGGAGAAAGCAGGGGACCUUCGGGCCUUGCGCUAUCAGAUGAGCCUAGGUCGGAUUAGCUAGUUGGUGAGGUAAUGGCUCACCAAGGCGACGAUCCGUAACUGGUCUGAGAGGAUGAUCAGUCACACUGGAACUGAGACACGGUCCAGACUCCUACGGGAGGCAGCAGUGGGGAAUAUUGGACAAUGGGCGAAAGCCUGAUCCAGCCAUGCCGCGUGUGUGAAGAAGGUCUUCGGAUUGUAAAGCACUUUAAGUUGGGAGGAAGGGUUGUAGAUUAAUACUCUGCAAUUUUGACGUUACCGACAGAAUAAGCACCGGCUAACUCUGUGCCAGCAGCCGCGGUAAUACAGAGGGUGCAAGCGUUAAUCGGAAUUACUGGGCGUAAAGCGCGCGUAGGUGGUUUGUUAAGUUGGAUGUGAAAUCCCCGGGCUCAACCUGGGAACUGCAUUCAAAACUGACUGACUAGAGUAUGGUAGAGGGUGGUGGAAUUUCCUGUGUAGCGGUGAAAUGCGUAGAUAUAGGAAGGAACACCAGUGGCGAAGGCGACCACCUGGACUAAUACUGACACUGAGGUGCGAAAGCGUGGGGAGCAAACAGGAUUAGAUACCCUGGUAGUCCACGCCGUAAACGAUGUCAACUAGCCGUUGGAAGCCUUGAGCUUUUAGUGGCGCAGCUAACGCAUUAAGUUGACCGCCUGGGGAGUACGGCCGCAAGGUUAAAACUCAAAUGAAUUGACGGGGGCCCGCACAAGCGGUGGAGCA